UACGGAGGGUGCGAGCGUUGUCCGGAAUCACUGGGCGUAAAGGGCGCGUAGGCGGCGCGGGAAGUCCGUGGUGAAAGCCCGAGGCUCAACUUCGGGUCGGCCAUGGAUACUCCUGGGCUUGAGCACUGUAGAGGCAGGUGGAAUUCCGGGUGUAGCGGUGGAAUGCGUAGAGAGUCCGGAAGAACGACCGGUGGCGAAGGCGGCCUGCUGGGCAGUUGGCUGACACUGGAGGCGCGACAGCGGUGGGG
rnacentral:rRNA from 1 species